rnacentral:rRNA from 1 species
GAUGAACGCUGGCGGCGUGCUUAACACAUGCAAGUCGAACGGAAAGGCCACAGCUUGCUGUGGUACUCGAGUGGCGAACGGGUGAGUAACACGUGGGUGAUCUGCCCUGUACUUCGGGAUAAGCUUGGGAAACUGGGUCUAAUACCGGAUAGGAAUCACAUGUGGGUGUGUGGUUGGAAAGCUUUUGCGGUAUGGGAUGAGCUCGCGGCCUAUCAGCUUGUUGGUGGGGUAAUGGCCUACCAAGGCGUCGACGGGUAGCCGGCCUGAGAGGGUGUACGGCCACAUUGGGACUGAGAUACGGCCCAGACUCCUACGGGAGGCAGCAGUGGGGAAUAUUGCACAAUGGGCGCAAGCCUGAUGCAGAGACGCCGCGUGGGGGAUGAAGGCCUUCGGGUUGUAAACUCCUUUCGUCAGGGACGAAGCGAAAGUGACGGUACCUGGAGAAGAAGCACCGGCUAACUACGUG